rnacentral:rRNA from 1 species
AUUGAACGCUGGCGGCAGGCCUAACACAUGCAAGUCGAACGAGUGGCGGACGGGUGAGUAAUGUCUUGGAAACUGCCUGCUGGAGGGGGAUAACUACUGGAAACGGUAGCUAAUACCGCAUACCAUCGGAUGUGCCCCGAUGGGAUUAGCUAGUAGUUGGGGUAAAGGCUCACCUAGGCGACGAUCCCUAGCUGGUCUGAGAGGAUGACAAGCCACACUGGAACUGAGAGACGGUCCAGACUCCUAAGGGAGGCACCAGUGGGGAAUAGUGCACAAGGGGCGGAAGGCGGAUGCAGCAAGGCCGCGUGUAUGAAGAAGGCCUUCGGGUUGUAAAGUACUUUCAGCGGGGAGGCGUUACCCGCAGAAGAAGCACCGGCUAACUCCGUGCCAGCAGCCGCGGUAAUAC